rnacentral:lncRNA from 1 species
AUAGCUGAAUAUGAUAGAGAACAACUACCUGGUGAUUUAUCCAACUUGUUAAGGAAGGAACGCAUCUGCUCACCAAACAUAGCUGAAUAUGAUAGAGAACAACUACCUGGUGAUUUAUCCAACUUGUUAAGGAAGGAGCGCAUCUGCUGAACCUCAUCCUAAUUAAGUGGAAUUGGUUCGCUGCUGUUUUCUUCAUGUUUUGCAGAACCUAGGUGUGCUUGUCCACCCUUUCUACUGUUGUUGCUUCUUUUUCCCCCUUCCUUUUCACGAUUUUGGGAUCCCUAAUCUCGACUAGGAGGCUUUCCACGUAGCUUCCAACAUUUAUUACGAGUGUGGCGAGGUUUGUUACAGAAGGUACGCCACACUCCUUCUUUUUUCUUUUCCAGAUUUGUGAGUCCCCUCAUUUGGGGAUCAACCAUCUUGGCCGAUCCGAUUGCUACCAUGGCUGAGUUUUCCAUGGUUGGGGUUUCUAGCAUUAUUCCCCUUUCGCGUUCUUCACUUCUUACCAUAACUACCACUUCAUUAAUUCCUGGAACUUUGUCUUUUCCAAAAAUCUGGACUCUCACUUUAUCAAAAUCAAAGUUAACCCCUGUUAGAGAUAUUAUAUUUAGUUUAUAUUGUGUUUAUGUUAAUUAGGGAAAUAAAGUCCCUAUAUGUUUAUUGGGGAAAUAUUGUUCUUAUUUUAUUUUAUUUUAUUCUUACAUAUUCAUUUAUAUUUGGGCUUAGCCCAUAUUUCUUCUAUUAUAAAUAGAGAACCCUAUGUGUGUAUUUAACACAAGGGAUUAAUUUCAAUAUAUAAUUUUCACUAUAUUUAACAUGAUAUCAGAGCAGGUUUUCUGAUCCUUUUCUACUUUGUCUUUGUUGCCGCCGGUGGCCGCCGCCACCGGCGGCCCCCCUAAAAGUUUCUUUUUCAACCUGUGCCUUUAUACUUCAAUGGGCAAUCUCUGGUUUUUGUCUUGCAUCUGUCCGGUGUUGCUGUCCGCCACUGCCCGUUGCCGCUCGCCACCAUCCGGCCGUCGUCUCUAACCACCGUCUCCGGCCGUCGUCUCCGGCCACCGUCUCCGGCAACC